GACGAACGCUGGCGGCGUGCCUAAUACAUGCAAGUUGAGCGAUGAAGAUUGGUGCUUGCACCAAUUUGAAGAGCAGCGAACGGGUGAGUAACGCGUGGGGAAUCUGCCUUUGAGCGGGGGACAACAUUUGGAAACGAAUGCUAAUACCGCAUAACAACUUUAAACAUAAGUUUUAAGUUUGAAAGAUGCAAUUGCACCACUCAAAGAUGAUCCCGCGUUGUAUUAGCUAGUUGGUGAGGUAAAGGCUCACCAAGGCGAUGAUACAUAGCCGACCUGAGAGGGUGAUCGGCCACAUUGGGACUGAGACACGGCCCAAACUCCUACGGGAGGCAGCAGUAGGGAAUCUUCGGCAAUGGACGAAAGUCUGACCGAGCAACGCCGCGUGAGUGAAGAAGGUUUUCGGAUCGUAAAACUCUGUUGGUAGAGAAGAACGUUGGUGAGAGUGGAAAGCCCAUCAAGUGACGGUAACUACCCAGAAAGGGACGGCUAACUACGUG
rnacentral:rRNA from 1 species